GUUGAUUCAAUUAAAAAUCUUUUAUAAAACUUUGGUUUAUUACAUUAAGAUUCUAAGAGAGUUCCCAACUAUAAGAACUUAUAUAAAAAUACCCUAGCGUAUCACGUUUUAGCUAUGUAGUGUACCGCGUAAUCCUAUUCGUACAGCGUAUCGAAACGUACCACGUUUCGGGUAACAUUGUUUUAACCUAGUAGUCCAUCAUACAACAGUGCAUAAUAAAGGCUUUCAGACUAAAAUCUUCUGUCAAAUCUGAAUUAAAGCAUUGCCAUAAUAAAAUCCCAGCCUAGUUAAUUACACGGGUAUUGAAUAUUAGUGUGGCUUAUGCUUUCAAGUCACCUCUGAGACCUGUACUCAAUGAAUAAGACCCUUGCUGGACCAGAGUUCAAUUUGAAACCGUUGAAUGUCAUGGCUAUCAGCAGCAAAACCUUCACCAGCUUACAUAAAGCAUCAUCUCUCUUAAUCUCUCAAAGCCAACACUAACAUGGUGAAAAAUAAGCAUCUAUAAAUGACAAUAGCUAUUUGCAUAACCAAGCUGCAUAUCACGCAAUAGUUAAUGUCAAUAUCCUCAUUUUCCUAACCAAAGUAAAUAAUAUUAACAAAAUGAUUCACCUACAGCUUAAUUCUAGAGAGACAAAAUAGCACAUCUGGUGAGGAAUGCAGUCAUAGAUUUAGUUAUUCUUUCAUGGGUAAUUUUGGCCCCAAGUAUGAGGAAUGCAUCCCACAGAUUUAGUUAUUUAUUCUUUAGAUUAUUCAAUUGGAUUGAAACUGAUGUCAUUACAUAUUUUAUCAAUAAUUGGGGAUUUAGGGUGAUUUAUAGUAGUUAGGGAUUUUAAUCAUUAGUUGCUAAUGAAGUUUCCUAAUCCUUUAAGUUUUGGUUUUCCAAUUUGGGCUUUCUAAUCCAUUGAGAUUUAUAUUUUCCUCUCCAUAAUGGAUUAGAGUUUUGUUUCUCUUAAAUAGUAAUGUAAUCCUCGCAAAUUCCUUUAAAAUAGCUUAUGAAAUAUUGGAAGCUUGUAAAUUGAAAACGGUAUCAAUCUCUUGCCAGCGAACUUAAUGAAUAUCAGUGGAGUUAACUCAAAGAAUCAUGCAGGACACAGAUAGGCGUCAACCUGUUUUGGAUGUGAUCAACAAACCCUAGUGUUUAGGUGUGAAACCUAAACCUUGUUGCAUUUUCUUUGUCCUACAUCAAAUCUCUGCAUUUUAGCAUUUUACAAAAAGACUCACCCGCCUAACUAUCCUCAUUUCUCUUCACUUCCUAUAAACGUUUCGACAUUACAUGGCAUGACCAAACAAUUACAAGUUUUCAGCCAUUACACGAGGAGCAUGCUAAGCAUAUAUAAUGUGUUAUGAUAUGAAAUAAAAGAAAUCAGGAAUUUAAAAUGUAAGACCAUGAAGCUUUAAAUAAUGAUGGCAAGGAUGGCCAUACAAUCAUCAAAUCACACAAGUCCCUAUCAUAAAUUUAUCUUUAGUUCAUUUUGGUAAUUUAUUAAUACAUUAUCAUUGUCUACAGCCUAGAUAUCAGAAGAUACAUUUCUUAAGGAAACAAUCAAUUAAGCAUCAAGCCUAAAGUUAGGUACUUUGAAGGAUUUUAUUCUUGUAAUUACUUGUACCUUCUAUUCCUGUAACUGAUUAAAUCUUUCGUCAGGGCAAGAUCGUUAAAACUACAAAUUUCCAACAAAAUAUCCCAAAAUUGAAUAUGCUUCUCCUCGAAUCAUUUUUAUAUUCUGCGAGAACCUAAAAAUCUGAGAAUGUAAAAGUCUUUGAGGUAGUAAUGCAACGACAUAAUACAUUUGAAAACACAUUCAAAAUUUUCCCAACUCCUGUUUCUUAAGGAGUGAAAAUAAAAGAUGAAACAGAGUCGCAUCAAUCUGGCUACAAUUCUCCAACAAAUCAAUGCUUAAUAAUAAUAAGUAUUAAUAAUUGCUAAGCAUUUUCUAAUUGUAUAAGAAUUCCGAGCAUGCUAAAACAGCUUCAUAAGAUCUCAACCAAAAAACAAGUCAUCAAGGAAGUCAAACAAGUUCAACUAAAUCCAAUUUGACAUCAUAACAGAAGCAAUUCAAUUUAGUAACAAAAUCAUGUGAUAAAUUAACCAUAUGACUCAAAACAGAUAAAUACAUAGUUGGCUAUCUAGACAUAAUUCCUCAUAAUUUAAAUUCAUAUGUUAACAGAAAAUUCAUAUUCAUAACAACAGAUGACAAAUACAUCUGAAAAAAAAAAACUAUUAUGUCCAAAUGAUUACCUGAAUUAAAAUUAAGACUGUUGAAGGACAAUCUAAACCAAACACACAAGACUCUUUCAUCUUUACUCUUUCAUCACAUCAAAGUAUUAAACAAAAGAUUCAUAAAAUUCAUGAAACCCGUUAAAAUAUUAUUAUAAUUCCAUCAUUUCUUGGUGCUUUUACCUCCAGCAUCCCCACUACCCCCUGCGGCACCUGCUGCCUUCUUUGCCUGUUUUUCCUGAAGUGCUUUUGCAUCCCUGUAUGUACACAAAGACAUCCACCAAGAUUAAAACUAAAAAAUAUUGAAUUUGUUUUUUGUGGGGUUUGGUGGAAAGGUUUUCAUAUGCUUAUAAAUAUACUUAUUCAUAACCAAGGUUUAAGAACUUAAAUUAAAAGAUUAACAAUGAAAAAAUUGAAUUUUUUUGGUGGGGUUUGUGGGAAAGGUAUUCAUAUGCUUACACGUAUACUCAUACGCAUAUAUUAACCAAGGUUAAAGAGCUUAAAAUACAAUAUUAACAAUAAAAAAUGAAUUUUUAUGGGGGAAAUCAGCAAAAUCACACAAGUCGCAUAUAAACAUACCUUUCACGGCGUUGUUCAGGGGUCAACCCAUCGUCUUUCUUAUUUUUGCCACCGUUUCGGGCAUUAGCUCUUUCACGAUCCUUCUCUCUCUGGUUACCGCGUUAGAUCCAGUAAUUAAAGAAAUCCCAAUAUAGUCAUGAAUAAUAUAUAUACAUAUACAAGUCUAUAUUGAUACAUUGAAGCAGUAAAAUUAUGUAAAUUGAAGAUAAUGGAAUUGAGAAUCAAGCACCGAAAGCAAUUAAACUUAGAUCAAACAAAUAAUUAAACAAUCACAAGCAUGACAAUACUUGGACUGAAAUUAGGGUUUCAAAUUGAAAUACAAAUUUCGAAGGAUAUGAGUCAUCUUGAAGCAGAUGAAAGCCUCAAGUUAACAAAGAAAUCUCGGACAGAGAAGUAUGCGGUUGGAGUUUGAGGAGGGAGGAGAAGAAGCGAAUAGAAUAAAUAUUAGGGGGAGAAAUUGAAUUAACACUUUUGGGCCUUCGGCCCUUGAAAUCUGACUUUAUUGGGGCAUGUGAGAAUUGAGAUUGGCCUAUUAUUU
rnacentral:lncRNA from 1 species